rnacentral:rRNA from 1 species
GACAGAGGUGCCGAGCGUUAGGCGGAAUCACUGGGCUUAAAGCGUGUGUAGGCGGAUGCCUAAGUACCUUGUGAAAUCCCACGGCUCAACCGUGGAACUGCUGGGUAUGCUGGGUGUCUUGAGCUGUCUAGGGGCAACUGAAACAAGUGGUGGAGCGGUGAAAUGCGUAGAUAUCAAGAGGAAUACCUGAGGUGAAGACGGGUUGCUAGGCCGACACUGACGCUGAAGCGCGAAAGCCAGGGGAGCAAACGGG